rnacentral:miRNA from 1 species
AGUUCAUCCCUGGGACGCUAUCGG